CUGGCUCAGGACGAACGCUGGCGGCGUGCCUAAUACAUGCAAGUCGAGCGAACUUGAUGGGAGCUUGCUCCCUGAAAGUUAGCGGCGGACGGGUGAGUAACUCGUGGGUAACCUGCCUGUAAGACUGGGAUAACNUCCGGGAAACCGGGGCUAAUACCGGAUAACUUUUUUCUUCGCAUGAAGGAGAAUUGAAAGAUGGCUCCGGCUAUCACUUACAGAUGGACCCGCGGCGCAUUAGCUAGUUGGUGAGGUAACGGCUCACCAAGGCGACGAUGCGUAGCCGACUUGAGAGGGUGAUCGGCCACACUGGGACUGAGACACGGCCCAGACUCCUACGGGAGGCAGCAGUAGGGAAUCUUCCGCAAUGGACGAAAGUCUGACGGAGCAACGCCGCGUGAGUGAUGAAGGUUUUCGGAUCGUAAAACUCUGUUGUUAGGGAAGAACAAGUAUCGUUCGAAUAGGGCGGUACCUUGACGGUACCUAACCAGAAAGCCACGGCUAACUACAUGCCAGCAGCCGCGGUAAUACGUAGGUGGCAAGCGUUGUCCGGAAUUAUUGGGCGUAAAGCGGCGCGCAGGCCGGUUUCUUAAGUCUGAUGUGAAAGCCCCACGGCUCAACCGUGGGAGGGGUCAGUGGAAACUGGGAGACUUGAGUGCAGAAGAGAAGAGCGGAAUUCCACGUGUAGCGGUGAAAUGCGUAGAGAUGUGGAGGAACACCAGUGGCGAAGGCGGCUCUUUGGUCUGUAACUGACGCUGAGGCGCGAAAGCGUGGGGAGCGAACAGGAUUAGAUACCCUGGUAGUCCACGCCGUAAACGAUGAGUGCUAAGUGUUAGAGGGUUUCCGCCCUUUAGUGCUGCAGCUAACGCAUUAAGCACUCCGCCUGGGGAGUACGGCCGCAAGGCUGAAACUCAAAGGAAUUGACGGGGGCCCGCACAAGCGGUGGAGCAUGUGGUUUAAUUCGAAGCAACGCGAAGAACCUUACCAGGUCUUGACAUCCUCUUGCCCUCCCUAGAGAUAGGGAUUUCCCUUCGGGGACAAGAGUGACAGGUGGUGCAUGGUUGUCGUCAGCUCGUGUCGUGAGAUGUUGGGUUAAGUCCCGCAACGAGCGCAA
rnacentral:rRNA from 1 species